AUUUUUUGAGAAGUGCACAUCAGUGACGGCGACGGCCACAUCGAAGGGCUAUGCGUCAGCGCCAUAGCAUACGCCGGCGUUUGACGCAGAAGUAUAAAUCAGCCUUAAGUCAAGAACCAAAUGAAGCACCAGAGUACAGAUUAUGGAGGUAUCUGAAGUUGAACUAACUGGAAGCAGGGAACCAUACUAAUAAAGUUCCUUAAGGUAAAAGCACCUGCUUUAUUUUGAUAGGAAGUAUUUUUUUAUAGAGUUCUAUUGUUUUAUUCCUAUUCUAAUUUUAUUUUCUUCAUAUACUGAAUGGAAGUCAUUCAAAUUUCACAACAAAUGAUUUGCAGAUUGAAUAUAAAAUAUAAUGACAUUUUAAUGCAUUAUUUCUUUUGGUUAUUCUUUACAUCUAUAUAUGGGCAAGUAUUUAAUCAAUGAAAAUAAUUUUUAACAACUUAACUAAACAAAUUACUCUGUUGGACCCUAGCAAAAUCCUCAAACUAACACACACUCUUGUGAAUGCAUUCUCACAUUCAUACACUCAAAAACACACAUUCAUACAACAGUCUGUCUCAGUCUGACUCACACACAACAUCCUCUCUCACAGAUUUUUCUAGCAAACCUCCACCACUAGCUUGUCCUUUUAUGCUGCUUUUAUUUCAAACAUUUUAUAGCAUGAUAUAGUCCAGGUUUUUAUCACUAAGUAUUUUUUUUUCCAUUCAGCAGUUUCCUUGUAAAGAUGAACCCAGGGAAGGAUCGAAAGUGGAGAAGACCAGAUCAAGAAAGACUACAUCAAGAUCUGCGGUCAGUUCAAAGGUACUUUCACUAAUUACCAAGAUUUCAGACUAUGAAUUGAUGGAGAAAACUUUGAGUGUCAGAUCUUCCUACAUCGCCUAGCAAAAAUUCUUCCCAGUGUCUUGUAGUAGAAGUGAUGCAGUCAAUCGAGUUUACAUUAUUUCGUAAAUUGCUUUCUGAUUUAAUAAAAAAUAUAUUAACCAAACUUGAUUAAUGUAACAAUUUUGAUGAAAAGGGCAUGUUUUACUAGAGCUUUUAGCACAAAGGCACCCCCAACUUGGAAUAUUGCUGUGUCUGACGUCACGGGGUUGGUAUGCUGGAAAAGUUUUUGAAUGAGGAUGUUUUGCAUUGGACUGUUUUUUUUGGCUUUGACCCUUGCUUGCCCCUGACCUCACUCUUGGACUGCCCUGUUGGAUUUUCAGUUUAUUUAAUU